AACUUUUAACAAUGGAUCUCUUGGCUCUCGCAUCGAUGAAGAACGCAGCGAAAUGCGAUAAGUAAUGUGAAUGGCAGAAUUCAGUGAAUCAUCGAAUCUUUGAACGCACCUUGCGCCCUUUGGCUAUUCCGAAGGGCAUGCCUGUUUGAGUAUCAUGAACACCUCAACUCUCACGGUUUCUCGUGACGAGCUUGGACUUGGGGGUUUUGUUGGCCUGUGGUCAGCUCUCCUCAAAUGAAUUAGCUUGCCGGUGUCUGGCGGCAUCAUGGGUGUGAUAACCAUCUACGCUUGUGAUCGUCUGCGAGGUAAACCUCUGGUCUGCAGAGGUUCGCCGGAGCUUAUAGAUGUCUCUCCUCAGUGAAGACAGCUGUUUGAAGUUCGAUCUCAAAUCAGGUAGGACUACCCGCUGAACUUAAGCAUAUCAAUAAGCGGAGGCU
rnacentral:misc_RNA from 1 species